GACUGACUGGCUCGAUACUGACACUGAGGUGCGAAAGCGUGGGAGCAAACGGGAUUAGAUACCCCGGUAGUCCACGCCGUAAACGAUGUCUACUAGCCGUUGGAGGACUUGAUCCUUUAGUGGCGCAGCUAACGCGAUAAGUAGACCGCCUGGGGAGUACGGUCGCAAGAUUAAAACUCAAAUGAAUUGACGGGGGCCCGCACAAGCGGUGGAGCAUGUGGUUUAAUUCGAAGCAACGCGAAGAACCUUACCUACUCUUGACAUCCAGUGAACUUUUGAGAGAUCAAUUGGUGCCUUCGGGAACACUGAGACAGGUGCUGCAUGGCUGUCGUCAGCUCGUGUUGUGAAAUGUUGGGCUAAGUCCCGUAACGAGCGCAACCCUUGUCCUUAGUUACCAUCAUUAAGUUGGGGACUCUAAGGAGACUGCCGGUGACAAACCGGAGGAAGGCGGGGACGACGUCAAGUCAUCAUGGCCCUUACGAGUAGGGCUACACACGUGCUACAAUGGCAUGUACAAAGGGUUGCCAAGCCGCGAGGUGGAGCUAAUCCCAUAAAGCAUGUCGUAGUCCGGAUUGGAGUCUGCAACUCGACUCCAUGAAGUCGGAAUCGCUAGUAAUCGUGAAUCAGAAUGUCACGGUGAAUACGUUCCCGGGCCUUGUACACACCGCCCGUCACACCAUGGGAGUGGGUUGCUCCAGAAGUAGAUAGCUUAACCUUCGGGAGGGCGUUUACCACGGAGUGAUUCAUGACUGGGGUGAAGUCGUAACAAGGUAACCGUA
rnacentral:rRNA from 1 species